AAUCUUCCGCAAUGGACGAAAGUCUGACGGAGCAACGCCGCGUGAGUGAUGAAGGUCUUCGGAUCGUAAAACUCUGUUAUCAGGGAAGAACAAGUAUCGGAGUAACUGCCGGUACCUUGACGGUACCUGACCAGAAAGCCACGGCUAACUACGUGCCAGCAGCCGCGGUAAUACGUAUGUGGCAAGCGUUGUCCGGAAUUAUUGGGCGUAAAGCGCGGACGGGCGGUCUCUUAAGUCUGAUGUGAAAUCUCGUGGCUCAACCACGAACGGUCAUUGGAAACUGGGGGACUUGAGUGCAGAAGAGAAGAGCGGAAUUCCACGUGUAGCGGUGAAAUGCGUAGAGAUGUGGAGGAACACCAGUGGCGAAGGCGGCUCUUUGGUCUGUAACUGACGCUGAGGUGCGAAAGCGUGGGGAGCAAAC
rnacentral:rRNA from 1 species